rnacentral:rRNA from 1 species
UACGUAGGGGGCAAGCGUUGUCCGGAUUUAUUGGGCGUAAAGAGCGUGUAGGCGGUCUGGUAGGUCCGUUGUGAAAACUCGAGGCUCAACCUCGAGACGCCGAUGGAAACCAUCAGACUAGAGUCCGGAAGAGGAGAGUGGAAUUCCUGGUGUAGCGGUGAAAUGCGCAGAUAUCAGGAAGAACACCCGUGGCUAAGGCGGCUCUCUAGUACGGUACUGACGCUGAGACGCGAAAGCGUGGGGAGCGAACAGGG